GUGAUCUCCACGGCCGAGGGCUCCUCCCGCCGGCCCAGCAUCCACGACUGCAUGGCCAAGGACCCGCGCCCGCCCGUCUCCAUCGACCCCGGCCCCGCCCGCGCCGCGCCCGCCAGCAAGGCCUCGCCCAAGGGAAAAGUGCGCUGCCCGUCUGACGGCUCCCGACCUCCGCUCUCCAGUCCCAAGAGACUGUAACCUCUGCUUUUCUAGAACAAUCUGAGAUGAAUCCAGUAAAACUAAAGAUCUCCGCUUUCCACUUUCCUUGAAUCAAGGAAAGCUUUCUCAAUGUGUCACACAGAGCUGCCAGGACAGGACAGACAGUAUGAUUCAACAUUAUGACCAAUGUUCUGCGUCAAGUUUUUUUUUCUCUGUGUGACUGAAUUUGUGAAAGGCACGGACCAUUACACACCGCAGUGCGUUCAGUGUUGAAUUUCUCUCGAGCCCCCGUGAACACUCGAGCUGAGGGUCUGUCUGAAGUGGCUGACGCUGCGUUUUUAAACUUUCCUCACUCGCCGUAACCAUCGAACACAAACUGCUUUGUGUAAUGCCUUCUCUGAGGACACGGGCAAGCCCACGCCGCCUGGCGUUUUACCAUCAGAGAUCAAGGGCCCCCGGGAUCACAUUUCUUCCAGGUCUUAAGGGGUACGUUUCGGAACACAAAACAUAGGCAGCCUCUCAUGUGAGUGCCACGUUUUGAGCCCAGGGGAUUGGACUGUUUUGACCUUAUCACAAAUCUGUGGGUUUCUGAACAUGAGUUUCUCCAAAAUAGGUAUGUAUACGAAAGUGUCAUUCACUGGAGCCUGUUUUUUGUUUUGUUCCAUCCAUUAGGUCCAAAAAGGUGAUGGCAAAUUCUGUGCGACUACUCGAGGAAUGAACUGAUUAUUGUUUAACUGUUAUUUAAUGUACUUGACUCCACCUUUCAAAUAAGAAACAAACUAGAAUAGAAGUUUGAGACAAACUUCAGGUGGUUUGAAAAGCCAAGUAUGUAUAACCCCUUCAACUUCAUCUGCAUUUUCAAUAAAACCGUUGUCUGUC